rnacentral:miRNA from 1 species
AAAGUUACUUUGUCAUCUCUCU